AAUGAACGCUGGCGGCAGGCCUAACACAUGCAAGUCGAACGGAUCCCUCAGGAUUAGUGGCGGACGGGUGAGUAACGCUUGGGAACAUACCCUUUGGUACGGAAUAGCCUCGGGAAACUGGGAGUAAUACCGUAUGUGGUCGAGAGACGAAAGAUUUAUCGCCCAAGGAUUGGCCCGGGUUGGAUUAGGGAGUUGGUGGGGUAAUGGCCUACCAAGCCGACGAUCCAUAGCUGGUUUGAGAGGAUGAUCAGCCACACUGGGACUUAGACACGGGCCAGACUCCUACGGGAGGCAGCAGUGGGGAAUCUUAGACAAUGGGGGAAACCCUGAUCUAGCCAUGCCGCGUGAUCGAUGAAGGCCUUAGGGUUGUAAAGAUCUUUCAGGUGGGAAGAUAAUGACUGUACCACCAGAAGAAGCCCCGGCUAACUCCGUGCCAGCCGCCGCCGUAACAC
rnacentral:rRNA from 1 species